GAACGACUGACGUUAGCGUCAUUGACCCUGUGACGGUGGGCAGAAACGUCUUCGGUGUCGUGAAUGAUUUUGCUAAUGAAAUAGGGGCUUACAUUCAGGGCAUUUUCUGCACCAUACUGGAUUUCAUCUUGGAUAUUUUCAAAGGUACUUCCACUUUUUUUUCUUCGUCUGUGUUCUGCAUACAUGGAUGGAGCAUCAACAAAACACACUAAACAGCAAAUGGAAUCAACAACGCUCUACUGUUUGAUAAGAAGCUUUUAUGGUGUUUUAGGAGAGUUUAAGUCAGCUUGAACCCAGUCUUUUUUUCUGACUUUAUUCUAAAUUAAUAUGUGUAAAACAUAGAGUGUAUUGGUGCUUUUAAUCAAAUUGUGUUUUUCCACUCAGGAACAAUAGACAUCAGCUUUAUUGACCCGGUGACUGUGGGCCGUAAUGUCUUUCAUCUUGUAAAUGAUUAUGUGAGGGGAAUUGCAAGAUUCGUCCAGGACAUUCUCUGUGUAUUUCUGGAUGGAAUACUAGAUAUUUUAAAAGGUGAUGCGUGGCCUUCAACUCACCUGCGUUUCCCAUUAAAUAAUCCUAACUCUAGUUUUUCUUUUCCUCUGUUCAUCAGAUGUCCAGCAGGCUGUUGGGUUUAGUCCCGUCUCGGUUCUGAGAACAACGACAGAGACUAUAAGAGAACUGAUCGACAGCUUCCUUCCCACAACGCUGAUCGGUGAUCAAGGAAUUGUGCCUGAAGUGUCUGUGGACCCAAUGCAAGUCGUGGAGGAGGCGCUGCUUGAAUUCUCUGACAAGAAGGAUCUGUUCUUAGGUUACAUGUCAAGCAUGUUGGUUGGUGAUCAAGAAACGGCCCCAUCUUCAGCUGAUAUGAAGUUGGUUAGAAAGAAAGGUGAAUUCCUGCCUCCAUCGGAAAAAAGUACAGAGAGGACGCACGAGGAGGAAGUGGAAGAGGAGGUGAAGGAGGAAGAACCUGCUGAAGCUGCUGAGAUCAUGGAGGAGGGCGAUUCUGAGGCAAAAGAUGAUGAGGAAAUCCAGCCAGAAGCAACGCUUAGGGAGGAAGAAAUCCUUGAUCGGGGUAGCAAAACCAAGGAAGAAGAGACUGAGAGUCAGGAGGAAUACACAAAGAAGGAAGAAGAUACCGAUGCAGGCAAGACUAAUGUAGAAGAUUUUAGGAAAACAGAUUUAUUGUUUGUUACUCCCGACGAGAUGGAGGAGAAAUCCGGAACUGUAGACAUUUUGGCUGAAGAUGAAGAGGUGAAAGAGGGGGUCAAAACUGAAGAUAUAAAAGAGGAUCUAAAUGAAGAGGAGAUCAGUAGCACUGAGGUUGUAGAAGAUGAAAAGGCAAGAGGAGACACAAAAACUAAUGAAGAUUUGGCAGAAGCUGAGAAGGAGCCAAAAAUUGAAGAUACUUUUGUUGAACAUAAAGUAGAAGACACCAAACCGGAGAAACUAACAGAAGAUCAACCUCAGAAAGAAGCUUUAACUGUGGAAAAAGAGGCUGUAGAAGAUAAAGAAGCAGAGGAGGACGGACUAAAAGAUGAAGAGGAAGAAAUUCAAACUAAAGAAAACUUGGAAAGAUACACAAAAGAAGAGGAAGAUGGGGAAACAGACAAUAUGAUACAUUUUAAGGAAGAGGAGAAGAAACUGGAAUCUACUGGUCCAGCUGAAAAAGAAGAGGAGGAGGAGGAGGAGGACCAGGCAGAGACCACAAUUGGAGAUUUAACACAAGAACAGCAGAAGGUUGAAACUGAAGCUGGAAAAGACAUAGAAGCAACUAAAGAGGAUUUGACAGAAGAGGAAGAAUCCAAAACCAAAACUGAAUCUGAAAAACACAUUAUUAAAGAAGAGGAAGAGGAGGCCAAAGUGGACAUUUUGACAGAUGUAGAUGAAGGUAGAGCUGAAAAACAACAAGGCAGGACUGUGGAGGAGGAUGAGGAGGAGUCUGACCCUGAACACCUUUUGGCUGAAGAUAAAGAGGAGGAGGGAAAGGAAACCAAAACUGAGGAAACAAUAAUAGACAAAGAUGAAGAUAAAGAGACAGGAGAAGAUGCUGGAACUGAAGAAGAUCUGGCAGAAGAUAAAGAAGAGGAAGAACCCAAAACAAUAGAGGAUUUGCCACAAUUUGAAGAGAAGAAACAAAAAAAAGAAGAGGAGGAAACAAAAGUCACAUUUUUGGCUAAAAAAGAUGAAGACCAAGUGAGGCAGGAAGAAAAACCAGAACAACUGGAGUCUAAAGAUAAGGCCCAAGAAAAAAUGGAAAAACGUGUGGAGGACAGCUCUGUGUUUGAAUCCCACGAGGCAGAGGAGGAAACAUUUUCAGCAUCUGAGAGCAGAAAGGUGAAACGCAAAGAAGCGAGGAAGACUCGUGUUUCCCUCCAGAAGCUCAGAGACACGUCACGCAAAGAAAAACACACCCAUGAAAUGGAGAAAGGUACAAAACAAAAGUUUCCUUCAUGAAUGCAUCAGGAACUGUUUCGUUUUUAUUACUUCUACUUUUGUGCAUGUCUUCACCAUGAAGUUAUGGUGGAUUGGAACGGUGUGGCAUAACAGCUUGGUUUGGAAUUUGAUUAUUAACGAUUUUUCAGGCUAACAGUUGAGGAAUGAAUCUGGAAAUGUCACACGGUAAUACUUGCUGUGAACAUGACACUAAUGUGCUUACAGACAAAGAGUGGGUUUAGUGAUUCUCUGUACUAAACAGAGAAUUGUAAAGACACAUAGAAUAUAAAAAAAUUGUUAGUAAGAUGCCAGAUAAAUACCAACAACUGCAGCUCAAGUUACAAUACAUUUAGGUCCUACUGAUUCAAGUUAUAUACUGUAUCUUUAGAUGUGCCUAUAAGCCCUUCAGUUCCUUAGACAUUUCAAUUUAACAAAAAAACAAGAAUUCUUUUUAAUCUUUGAUUUAUUGUAUUGCACAUAAAUCAAUGUUAUGAAAAAGAAGUGAAGGAAAAGAUUCAGUUUUAACAGUUCAGACAUAAAAUCCUUGUAUUUCGGUCUAACUUUACUGGUAUAUCUGAUGUUAAACAUUUCUUUAAAAAAAGAGUUAGCAUAAUAGAAUGUCUUAAAUAAAAAAUAAAUGUAAAUAUAACAUUUUUUAAGAGGUCCGUGGCUGACCUUUAGCCUAUCAUUGCUUGUGAUUCUGACCAAUUACUUGGGUUGGAAACCAAAAAGAGACCAACUGAGAGCUCAAAGAUUUAACUUUAAGUUGAUUUGAACAUGCUAAGGGCUUUUUUUGUGUCUGGAAAAGCACAGAUAAAGCUAAUCCAUUAUAAUUAUUAUUAUGGCUAAAUUUCUUCAUUGAGCCAAUAUAACCACAAGAUGGAGCAGGGAGGCCUAAAACACCAGAGAUGUAUUUCUUCACAAAUCCUUUGAAAAUAGUUAGUUUUAUAGUUGUUAUUUAAAAACUAUUGUUAACGCAAUCUAUGAUGUUUAAAAAGUAGAAUUAUGUUUAACAUUGUUAUCAUGUUUAGAAAUUCUGUCAUGACUGUGCCUUUAAAUGACACACAAUGAAACAAGAACAAUAGUAUGCAAUUGAACUGAAAAUGAAAGAUCUGGAGUCUCAUAGUGUUAUCUCAGAGAUAUUACUACUUGGUUAUAAAAUUAUUAUCUAUAGCGAAGAGCUACUUUGUGAGAAUGGGUUUGCACUCUUAUAUUAAUGCUGUUUUUGGCAUGUGAGAUACACCACUGUACCUGCAAAAAUGAGCCAAAAAAAAUGAAUUCACUGCAGACUUUGUUUAGAAAAGUCUUUAUUUUUCUUAGGGUUUUUCUCUGUAAACAAACAAAUAUCCUCUAUUUUAAAUACACAUAUCUAAAAAUUUUAAGAUGUCCAUUUUUUGUACAUCAACAAAUAAACUUGUU
ensembl:lncRNA